rnacentral:rRNA from 1 species
GACAGAGGGGGCAAGCGUUGCUCGGAAUUACUGGGCGUAAAGGGCGCGUAGGCGGGAUGGCAAGUCGGUCGUGAAAUCCCUCGGCUCAACCGAGGAACGUCGAUCGAUACUGCUGUUCUUGAGGAUUGCAGAGGAGACUGGAAUUCCCGGUGUAGCGGUGAAAUGUGUAGAGAUCGGGAGGAACACCGGUGGCGAAGGCGGGUCUCUGGGCAAUUCCUGACGCUGAGGCACGAAAGCGUGGGGAGCAAACAGG